rnacentral:lncRNA from 1 species
AGCUGAUUACUUGAUUUUUUAAAAAAAUUUUGGUCGUCCUGGGGUUGAAAGCUACAGAGAGGGGUGAUAUGCAUGUGUGCAACUCUAUCCUAUAUUUGGAAUGGGCUGAUCUUUUUUUUUUUUUUGAUAGAUUGUUGGCUGCUUGGAAUCGCAGAUGCAUCAUUAAGCUAUUGCAUUUAAAUUUAGCUCUUGUUCUCACUUUGGAAGGGAAUGGAAUGUUUCAAUUAUUUCACCACGAAGGGGAAGUGAUUAGAAAAUAGAUCCUCAUGACUUCUCAAAAAUAAGAGGUCUAGCCAGUGAGUCUCAGAGGGGGCUGCAUAUUUGACUCAGAAGAGGAGGCUCUUGAGUGGACCUUCAGUGUGGAGGAAAUUAAAAUUGCCUUAAGCAGGAGUUCCUGCUCUGGCACAGUGGGUUAAGGAUCUGACUGUAGAGGCUCAGGUUGCUUUGGGGGGAGGUGUGGGUUUUGAUCCCUGUCCCAGUGCAGUGGGUUAAUAAGGACCUUGUGUUGCCACAGCUGUGGCACAGGUCACAGCUGUGGCUUGGAUUCAGUCCCUGGCUUAGGAACUUUCAUAUGCUGCCACUGCUGUGGCCAUUAAAAAAUAAAUAAAUAAAUAAAUAAAAAAUAAAAUUGCCUGAAACACACCUUGGUGAUCACUAAGGUUUAAGCUCCCCAAGGGCAGCGUAUAUGUAAGCCAGCCAAGAUCAUUAUUCUUAAUAGGAUUGUGUCCACUCUUUUAAAUAGGGGCCAGGGCCCCUCUGUGUAAACAAAACAUUAAAAUGUCUAUUCCUAGACCCAAGUUGAAGAAAUGUCACCCACAACACUUUCACAGGGUUGAAUAUGUGAAUAUGUGGAAACAUCUUUAAAAUCAUUUUCCUUUGUCAGAUUUCAGGGGCAGCAGAUGCCCCUUGAAGUCAUAUCUUAGGUGUAUAAAGAAUGAAAAUCAUAAGUGACUAGACAUAGUUCCAAGUGCUACAUCCUGUAUAACUUUCCCAUCCUUGAUCCCCAUCAAUAAUCACAGCUCUCCAUUGGAUGUUUCUUUUCAGGAUUUUCAGACCCUCUUCCAUGUGUAAAAAAUAUAUACACAAACAUAUACAGAUGCCUAUGCAUAUACAGUAGGAUGAGUAGGCAUUCCCACUGUGGCACAAUGGAAUGGAUGGUGUUUCUGGAGUGCUGGGACACAGGUUCAAUCCCCAGCCCUGCACAGUGGGUUAAAGAUCUGGUGUUGUCAAAGCUGCAGUGUAGCUCACAACUGUGGCUCGGAUCUGAUCCCUGGCCCAGGAAUUCCAUAUGCCGUGGGGCGGCCAAAAAAAGGGUGUGUGUAUGUGUGUGUGUAGAGAGAGAGAGAUAUGUCUAACAGCCUGACUUUGUACAUAAUAGCUGCUCAGUCAAUAUUUGCUGAAACCGGAGAUGGUUGACCCUGCAAGGAAAUGGACCCAUUGGUCCAUUGGCACUUUGACCGCAACAGCUGUUUUUCACUCCCCCUCUUAGAUAAGUUGUAUUGUUCCUGCCUCCUGGGGUUGGCCCCAAAGAACUAAGUACUCAAUUCCAUGAGCUCUUGGAACACAGAUUGCAUCCAACUCUGCAUACAGUUGGAGAGAGGGAAAUUUUGUCUUCUCUGCCUCUGUGGAGGAUUUUGUGACUGUCAGCCUGGGGAAGGCAUAGCCAAAAUCUAUUGACCAACCCAGUAUUUCCAGAGUGUUCUACAGGGAACCAAAUAGACAUCUAUGGUCAACAAAGCCUGGAUACAGUAAUGUAGUUACUAGAAAAAAAAUUCUUUAUUAAAAAAUUAUAACUAGCACAGUAAUACAUGGUUUCAUAGUAGUAAUACAAAGUUUCUCUUUUUUCAAGAAAUAAAUCUUGGGGUUCCCAUUGUGGCUCAAUGGGUUUAGAACCUGACAGAAGUGUCUGUGAGGAUGCGGGUUUGAUCCCUUGCCUCCCUCAGGGCAUUAAGGAUCAGGCAGUGCCACAACCUGCGGUGUGGGUCUCAUAUGUGGUCAGAUUUGGUGUGGCUACGGCUGUGGCAUAGGCCUGUGGCUGCAGCUCCUAUUUGACCCCUUGCAUGGGAACUUCCACAUGCUGCAGGUGCAGUCCUCAAAAGAAAAAAAAAUUAUUUUAUUUUUAAUGAUAAAAUACAUUUCACCUUUACUAGUUUAUUUCCUGGUCAACCAACACAUUUUUUUUCUAUUUCAUUUUUCAAAAUGUUAUUGAAGUAGAGUUGAUUUACAAUGUUGUAGUAAUUUCUGCUGUACAGCAAAGUGAUUCAGUUAUGCAUGUACACUCAAGCAUUCUCUUUCAGAUUCUCUCCCUAUGUAGAUCAAGACAUUUUCAAUUUGUUUCAUUAUAUAAGUUUCAGGGGCACAGCAUUAUAAUUUGGCAUCUGUAUGCAUGACAGAUUCCACCAUGAGUCUAGUUACGGUCCUUCAUCAUAUGCUUUGACCCUUCACCUUCCCCCCAACCUCAUUCCCCUUUGGUAACUCCUAAUCUGAUCACUGUAUGUAUGAGUUUAUUUUUGUUUUAUUUGUUUUGUCUUUAGAUUCCAUGUAUGAGCGAAAUCAUAUGGUAUUUGUCUUUCUCCAUCUGACUUCUGACUUAUUUCACUUAGCAUAAUGCCCCCAAGGUCUAUCCAUGUUGUCAAAAAUGGCAGGAUUUUGUUCCUUUUUUAUGGCUGAGUAGUAUUCUAUGUAUAUAUAUAUAUAUACACUGCUAUCUUAAUCUAUUCAUCUGUUGACAGACACUUAGGUUGUUUCCAUAUCUUGGCUAUUGUGAAGAGUGCUGCUAUGGGAGUUCCCAUCGUGGCUCAGCGGAAACGAAUGUGACUAGCAUCUAUGAGGAGGCAGGUUUGAUCCCUGGCCUUGCUCAGUGGGCUAAGGAUCUGGCAUUGCCAUGAGCUAUGAUGUAGGUUGCAGAUGUGGCUCAGAUCUGGCAUUGCUGUGGCUGUGGUGUAGGCCACAGCUCUAAUUCAGUCCCUAGCCUGGGAACCUCCAUAUGCCAUGGGUGCCGCCCUUAAAAAAAAAAGAGAGAGAGUGCUGCUGUGAGCGUUUGGGGAGCAUGUUAUCUUUUUAGAUUACUGUUUUUGUGUUCUUUGGAGAAAUACCUAGAAGUGGAAUAGCUGGAUCACAGGAUAGUUCUAUUCUUAAUUUUUUGAGGAGCCUCCAUACUGUUUUCCAUAGUGGCUGCACCAGUUUACAUUCCCACCAACAAUGGUUCCCUUUUCUCUACAUUCUCUCCAACAUUUGUUAUUUCUGGUCUCUUUGAUGAUAGCCAUUUGGACAGGCAUGAAACUGGACAGCCACAGGCAAAUAAUGAAACUAGGAGUUCCCGUUGUGGCUCAGAAGGUCAAUGUUGUCUCUGUGAAGAUUUGGGUUCAAUACCUGGUCUAGCUCAGUGGCUUAAGGAUCCGGCAUUGCCACAAGCUGAAGCAUAGGUUGCAGAUGCAGCUUGAACUUGGUGUUGCUGUGGCUGUGGCAUAGGCCAGCAGCUGCAGCUCUGAUUUGACCCCUGGCCUGGUAACUUCCAUAAACUGCAGGUGCAGCUGUAAAAAAAAAAAAAAAAAAAAAAAAAAAAA